GGGCAGACCUGGCAGGGGAGAUACCAUGGUCACGAAGGUGGUUUUUCGAAGGGUGAGGCCUAUCCAUUGCACUCUGAAUGUGCUGAUCCCUCCGAUUUCCCCAAAUUCCGGAAACUUGACUGUAUAAUUUAUGGUAGUGGGGGACUGCAUUCACACUCUCCCCUG